rnacentral:rRNA from 1 species
CCGGCACGGGUGAGUAACACGUAUCCAACCUGCCGUCUACUCUUGGACAGCCUUCUGAAAGGAAGAUUAAUACAAGAUGGCAUCAUGAGUUCACAUGUUCACAUGAUUAAAGGUAUUCCGGUAGACGAUGGGGAUGCGUUCCAUUAGAUAGUAGGCGGGGUAACGGCCCACCUAAUCUUCGAUGGAUAGGGGUUCUGAGAGGAAGGUCCCCCACAUUGGAACUGAGACACGGCCCAA